GACAGCCUUUAAUAAUAUGAGACGCACACACACACGCACAGCGAUGUGAGAGGCGUGCGUAUGCGCAGCCCUCACCUUCUUCUUCCCCAGGGUCCCUCGCCCACACACACCACCAUUUGCCCCCCCCUCAAAAAAAAGAACAGUGGGCUUCAGUGUGGCUGCGAGCUGGCACGAUGAAGAAAAAGAUAAAGAGGAGGAAGAAAGGUUGAAGGGACCACAUUCUGCAACAGCUUCUACCUUCACACAAUGUGAAUAGAUCACAGAGCACACCAAAAAAAGACACAACCACACACACGCUUUACUACACACACGCAUUGAGUGGCUGAUAAUGAUCUCACUCAGUGCAGUCCAUCCGAGAAAUGCUCUCCUGAUUUUCCAGCACAAGGAACACUGGGAAAAACAGAGACACAUAAUGAGCAGACUUUGUAUUUUUUUUUGUAUUGCUUUAUUUUGUUUUUCAUGUUCUCAAAUAAAGACUAAUGAAUCCA